rnacentral:ncRNA from 1 species
CUCUUAUCCAGAGUGGCGGAGGGACUGGCCCGAAGAAGCCCGGCAACCCCACAAGUUAAUUGUGAAGGUGCUAAUUCCAGCAGACGAAAGUCUGAAAGAUAAGAG